rnacentral:rRNA from 1 species
UGGGGAAUAUUGGACAAUGGGCGCAAGCCUGAUCCAGCCAUACCGCGUGGGUGAAGAAGGCCUUCGGGUUGUAAAGCCCUUUUGUUGGGAAAGAAAAGCAGUCGGUUAAUACCCGAUUGUUCUGACGGUACCCAAAGAAUAAGCACCGGCUAACUUCGUGCCAGCAGCCGCGGUAAUACGAAGGGUGCAGGCGUUACUCGGAAUUACUGGGCGUAAAGCGUGCGUAGGUGGUUGUUUAAGUCUGUCGUGAAAGCCCUGGGCUCAACCUGGGAAUUGCGAUGGAAACUGGGCGACUAGAGUGUGGCAGAGGGUAGUGGAAUUCCUGGUGUAGCAGUGAAAUGCGUAGAGAUCAGGAGGAACAUCCGUGGCGAAGGCGACUGCCUGGGCCAACACUGACACUGAGGCACGAAAGCGUGGGGAGCAAACAG